AUUGAACGCUGGCGGCGUGCUUAACACAUGCAAGUCGUGCGGUAACAGGCGUAGCAAUACGUGCUGACGAGCGGCGAACGGGUGCGUAAUACAUGGGAAUCUGCCCUUUAGUGGGGAAUAACCCGGCGAAAGCCGGGCUAAUGCCGCAUAAGAUCUUCGGAUGAAAGCGGGGGAUCGUAAGACCUCGCGCUGAUGGAUGAGCCCAUGUCGGAUUAGCAGUUGGUGAGGUAACGGCUCACCAAGGCGACGAUCCGUAGCUGGUCUGAGAGGACGGCCAGCCACAC
rnacentral:rRNA from 1 species